UACGUAGGGUGCGAGCGUUAAUCGGAAUUACUGGGCGUAAAGCGUGCGCAGGCGGUGAUGUAAGACAGAUGUGAAAUCCCCGGGCUCAACCUGGGACUGCAUUUGUGACUGCAUGGCUUGAGAGUCGGAGAGGGGAUGGAAUUCCGCGUGUAGCAGUGAAAUGCGUAGAUAUGCGGAGGAACACCGAUGGCGAAGGCAAUCCCUGGGCCUGCACUGACGCUCAUGCACGAAAGCGUGGGGAGCAAAACAGG
rnacentral:rRNA from 1 species